UGCUGUGUGCGAUUUGAAUUUGCUGUGUGCGACUUAAUUUGCUGUGAGCGAUUUGAAUUUGCUGUGGGCGAUUUGAAUUUGCUGUGAGCCAUUUGAA